rnacentral:rRNA from 1 species
AUUGAACGCUGGCGGCAUGCUUUACACAUGCAAGUCGAACGGCAGCACGGGCUUCGGCCUGGUGGCGAGUGGCGAACGGGUGAGUAAUGCGUCGGAACGUGCCGUGUAAUGGGGGAUAACGCAUCGAAAGGUGUGCUGAUACCGCAUACGCCCUGAGGGGGAAAGUGGGGGACCGUAAGGCCUCACGUUACACGAUCGGCCGACGUCUGAUUAGCUAGUUGGUGGGGUAAAGGCCCACCAAGGCGACGAUCAGUAGCGGGUCUGAGAGGAUGAUCCGCCACACUGGGACUGAGACACGGCCCAGACUCCUACGGGAGGCAGCGGUGGGGAAUUUUGGACAAUGGGGGCAACCCUGAUCCAGCCAUGCCGCGUGAGUGAAGAAGGCCUUCGGGUUGUAAAGCUCUUUUGUUUGGGAGCAAAUCCUGCCGGAUAAUACCUGGCGGGGAUGAGAGUACCAAAAGAAUAAGCACCGGCUAACUACGUGCCAGCAGCCGCAGUAACAC